rnacentral:rRNA from 1 species
UACGUAGGGAGCAAGCGUUGUCCGGAAUCAUUGGGCGUAAAGCGCGCGUAGGCGGCCUCAUAAGUCCGUUGUGAAAGUCAAAGGCUCAACCUUUGAAAGCCGAUGGAUACUGUGAGGCUAGAGUCCGGAAGAGGCGAGUGGAAUUCCUGGUGUAGCGGUGGAAUGCGCAGAUAUUAGGAGGAACACCAAUAGCGAAGGCAGCUCGCUGGGACGGUACUGACGCUAAGGCGCGAAAGCGUGGGGAGCGAACAGG